GACGAACGCUGGCGGCGUGCCUAACACAUGCAAGUCGAACGGAAAGGCCUUUUCGGCGGUCCUUGAGUGGCGAACGGGGGAGUAACACGUGGGUGUUCUGCCCUGCACUCUGGGAUAAGCCUGGGAAACUGGGUCUAAUACCGGAUAGGACCGCACUUAGCGUGUGUGGUGGAAAGUUUUUUCGGUGUAGGGUGAGCCCGCGGCCUAUCAGCGUGUUGGGGGGGUAAUGGCCUACCAAGGCGGCGACGGGUAGCCGGACAGAGAGGUUGGUCGGCCACAUUGAGUCUGAGGUACGGCCCAGACUCCUACGGUAGGCAGCUGUGGGGAAUAUUGCACAAGGGGCGCAAGCCUGAUGCAGCGACGCCGCGUGGGGGAUGGCGGCCUUCGGGUUAUAGACACCUUUCGGCAGAGACGAAGCGUUUUGUGACGGUACCUAGAGAAGAAGCACCGGCUAACUACGUG
rnacentral:rRNA from 1 species